rnacentral:misc_RNA from 1 species
AAGUCGUAACAAGGUUUCCGUAGGUGAACCUGCGGAAGGAUCAUUAAAAAAAUCUUUAAUAUGGAGAACCGCAAGGUUCUCUAGCUAUUUUGUGAAAUGUGUAAUAGUACUGUGUGUGGUUUGUGCGUAUAUGUGCUGGUCUGUUUGAGGGUGUUAAACUCUUUUACGCGACCACACAAAUACAUUGCAUAGCUCUCUCGCUGUACUAUUUAUUUUAAUACAUGUUAUAAUUGAUGAAGUAUGUAAAUAUAGUAUUAAAGGUGGUGUAAUAACCCUUUUAAUAUGAUAUAAUAUAUAUACAACUUUCAACAGUGGAUCUCUCGGCUCUU